UAAUAGUUUAUAAAGAAGUUAAUAAGGAUAACUAGCUAGUGCAUUGGAAGGAGGUGUUGAACCUAAUUCAUGAUUAUUCAUAUGUUAUCAUGUAAUUCCGAGAAGGAAACUUUAUAGUUAAUUACGAAGUGAACUGAAACAUCUUAGUAACUUCAGGAAAAGAAAUCAACCGAGAUUUUGUUAGUAGCGGCGAGCGAAAUCAAAGUAGCCUGAGUAUUUAUUAUAGAAAAUUAUUUAUCUGAAUUCUUAUUAUGUAUUGUAUUAUUAUAUAUAUAAUAAUAAUUCAGAAUCUUAAAAAAAAAAAUUAAGAUUUAAUUCCAUUAUAAAAAGUUGGAAACCUUUUAAGAAUACUUUCUUUGUAGAAGCGAAAGAUGGUGAAAGCCCAUGAAAGAAUGGAAGUAAAUAUUAUGUAAGUAGAAUGAGUGUGAUCUUAUUCGAAGAUAGGGGAACUAUCCUCUAAGGCUAAAUAUAGUGCAUUAAGCGAUAGUGAAGAGUACCGUGAGGGAAAGUUGAAAAGAAUAUAAUCAAGGGUGGUCAACGCUCAUGAUUAGUAAAGUGAAAUAGAUCUUGAAUUAUUAACUUUAUAAGCAGCCGAAGGAUUUAAAAGUCUAACGGCGUACCUUUUGCAUAAUGGGUCAGCAAGUUAGUAUUUAAUGUAAGUAGUGAUACCUAAAGAAAUUGAUUCUUAAAAGGGAGUAAUGAAUAUUAAAUACUAGACCCGAAACCUAGUGAUCUUACUAUGAUCAGAUGUUAGAUCGAACCGGUGUACGUUGCAAAGUACUCGGAUGAAUUGUGGUAAGUAGUGAAAUACAAAUCGGACUAGGAUAUAGCUGGUUUUCUGCGAAAUCUAUUUUAGUAGAUGAUUUAUUAUUUUAUUAGUGGGUAUAGCACUGAAUAUCUCGUAAUUUGAAUUACAAGAAGGGAGUAUGAAAGUACUUACUUUGGAUAUUUAAUCUCAGAAUAACUAAUAAGAAGAUAAGAUAAAUUCUCAGACUUUUUGCGAUAAGGUGAAAAGUCGAAAGGGAAACAGCCCAGAAUAAUGAAUAAAGUUCCUCAAUUGUUACUGAGUGAAAGAAAAGAGGUUUUUCAUCUGAGACAAUCAAGAAGUGGGCUUGGAAACAGCCAUCUUAUAAUAAACACGUAAAAGUGUAAUGAUCGAAAGAGGGGAAGCGCUGAAAAUAUACGGAUCUAAGUAACAUACUGAAUUCUUAUUAUAUUCUUCUUUUCUUCUAUCCUGAAAGGAAGGGGGUAAGGAAAGAAUAUGGGUAGCAGAACAUUUAGUAAAUAGACGAAGAACAGUAUUUUAUUGUUUGGAUAUAACUAAAGAGAGAAUGCUGACAUGAGUAACGUUAAAGUAGGUGUAAAUCCUAUUCGCCGAAAACAGAAGGUUUUUAUGGUAAAGCUUAACUUCCAUAAGUUAUCUCGGUCUCUAACUGUAUCUCUAAGGAGUAAGGGAUGAGUGAAAUAUAAGAAAAAGUUUAUAACUCAAGAAAAGGUAUAUUUAAUAACCGUACCUUAAACCGACACAGGUCUGUGGAUGUAAGUGUAUUAAGGCGUAUAAGAGAAUUAUUGCGAAGGAACUCGGCAAAAAUAUUUCGUAAUUUCGAGACAAGAAGUGCCCUGAAGAGGGUGUCACUCAAAAAUGUUGUACAACUGUUUACUUAAAACACAGUACUUUGCAAAGAUGAAAAUCUUAGUAUAAAGUAUGAGAUCUGCCCAAUGCUAGGGGAUGAAAAAUUUAUUUUAAAUGAAUGAUUUAAGAUGAAUUGAAGUUCUAGUGAAUGGCGGCCUUAACUAUAAGGGUCCUAAGGUAGCGAAAUUCCUUGGCCGUUAAAUGCGGUCCCGCAUGAAUGAUUUAAUGAUACAACAACUGUCUCCGCAAUAAACUUAGUGAAAUUGGAAUAGCCGUGCAGAUACGGUUUAUGUGUAGAAAGACGGGAAGACCCUAUGCAGCUUUACUGUAGUUAAUUAUUGUUGUUUAAUCUUACAUUUGUAGUAUAGAAGGUAGUUGAUUAGACAAAAAUGAAAUACCUUUAUUGUGAGAGGUAACAACUUACUGGAUCAGGACAGUGAUUAACAGACAGUUUAUGUGGGGCGCAUGUCUCAAAAAGAGUAUCUGAGAUGUCCUAAGGUGAAGUUAAAUUGGAUGGUAACCAAUCAAGUUAUCCAGUAAUCUGGAAGAUGAAACCUUGAAAAAAGUAUAAUGGCAUAACUUUGCUUAACAGUGAGAUUGACAAAUCGAUCUGACACGUAAGUGGGGCAUAAUGAUCCUUGUAUUCAAAAUGGAAUGGUACGAGAACAACGAAUUAAAGCUACGCUAGGGAUAACAGGGUUAUUUCGUGUGAGAGAUCUUAUUGACCACGAAGUUUGCCACCUCGAUGUCGACUCAACCUAUCCUCCAGGAGUAGAAGAUUGGAAGGGUUUGGCUGUUCGCCAAUUAAAAGGUUACGUGAGUUGGGUUAAAAACGUUGUGAAACAGUUUGGUUCCUAUCUUCUAUAUAUAGUUAAAGUUAACGAAGAAUUUAUUCCUAGUACGCAAGGAUCGGAAUAUUUUAAUCUCUGGUUUCAUUGUUGUUCUCGCAUGGCAAUAAAGCUAAAUUAAAAAAGAAUAAAAUUUGAAAGCAUCUAAAAAUUGAAGUCUGUCUUCUGAAACUUUCAUAAUUCACGUUAAAGAUUAUGACGUUAAUAGGCUUUAGCUGUAAGAAUAGUAAUAUUUUAAGGUAUAAAGUACUAAUGGAAAUUUAGACUAAAAUA
rfam:Pneumocystis murina mitochondrion, complete genome.